GUAAGCAUAAUUUAAUAAAAAUACUAGAUUGUGGUUCUAGAGCUAGAGGUUAAACUCCUCUUGCCUACC
rnacentral:tRNA from 1 species